GAUUAUCCAAGAGAGAGAGGGCACAUGUGGAGACAGAGAAAGAAAUGAGAAAUGAGCGAAAUUCUAUGGUGUGGCUACCAUGAUCAUAAGAGAUAAGAUGUAGAAUCAACGGUGAGAUGAGGUCUGAUCAAGAUAAAAUUUUAGUAUUUGUUUAUGGAUGAUAGAUCAGCAUAUCUAAUGGUCCAUAUUCUGAUUUGAGGUAAGCAAGAGUAUACAAUAUAUUUUCUAAACUCCGGAGAACUUUUUUUAAAAUAUUCAAUUUUGUAUUCUUCUUGAUCAUAAGUGUUAUCUGUUGAAAUCUAUAGAAAUUUUAUUAAAAUCAUGAUCUGUAUGAUUUUUGUAUGAUGGCUAAAUACUAUAGAAUGGAUUGGUACAUUAACUGAGAGUAAUCACCAAUAACUCUACUAAGGAUUGAAAAAACCAAACGAACUAUGAGACGUUGGUGAGGCCGGCCACCAGUAAUGUACCAAGAAAGAUUGAGUAUGAAGUCCUUUACAAAAUGAUAAUUUAUUGAGCUCUUCUAGAUUUAUUGUUGAGCCAUUAUUGAAUUGAGCAUAUUCUCAUCGCAUUAUACUUCCCUCCUUAAAAUAAUUUUUCAAGAAAAUGUGAGAAUCGGGUAAUACGAGAUGAGUUGGAUAAAAAAUUUAAAGACUUUUGAUAAUUUUGUAUUAAUUAUUUUUAGAGAUAUUGUAAAAAUAAAUAUUUGAAGACUAAUAUUAAUUUAAGAAAAAAUAGCGCUCUGAUAUGUAUAUAAAAAAAACACGAUUAUUAACGGUCAAUUGUAAUAGAGAGAAAAAUGGGAUGGGUCAUUACAAUAGGAAUGACGCCAUUUGUUAAAUGAAAAACAAGGCAUGUAAGACUUGCAUCUAGGGCAUAUCCGACUUACGCCGUGAAAGUAAUUAUUAGUUAUAUUCAACUUGUACACAAGACAUGUUCGACUUGUACCCUAAGCACACACGAAUCACAUCCCAGACCAUUAAUUUUGCACCGCGAAAAUAACUAUUAGACGUAUUUGACUUGCACCCCAGCCACAUUUAAUCAUUAGACAUAAUAAUGUAUAUCCAUGGCAUAUAUGAUUUGCAUUCAUAGCACACACGACUUUUUCACUCGAGGCACCCUUGACUUACACUGUGAAAAAUAACUAUUAAAUCAUAUUCAACUUGCAUCCAUCUUGCACUCAAGACAUAUCCGACUUGCAUCAGGAUAUACACGAUAUGAACCCAUUCAUGCCUCUAACAUAAUCAUUAGACAUAUUUAACUUGCACCAAAAAUAUAUUUGAUUUGCACACGACUUGCACAUGAGGUGAAUCUGACUUGCAUCGUAAAAAGUAAUCAUUAGGCAUAUCCAACUUGCACCUGAGAUUAUUUGACUUUCACCCAUGCCUUGAUUUUUUUCAUUUCGUAAAUGGCGUUGUUCAAGUAGAAGGAGGAAUAAAAUCAUCCAACUCACCAUAUCAUUGCUAUUAUUUACAAGUUACCAGCUCUAGCAAUAUUAUUUUUGUGUUAGACCAUUGAAUUAAUAUAAAAUCUUGAUCAUACCAUUAAACUAAUUUUUUUUUUAAAAAGAACAAAUAAAUUCGGACAAAGGAGUCUAUAUUAUAUUUAAGGUUAAGAUUUGAGAAAAGUAACAAGGGAUCAUUUUUAGACAUUUGCUAAUAUAACUUAAAGACAUUGCCAUUGUAUCUAGUACUGUGAUACAAGGGUUGUCAAUUAUGUCUCAAAAUCCCACACUAACGAUCGCCCCUUGGAGCACUAGUUGUUAGCAAUUUCGAAUUAAUUAUUUUUCUUCAAAAAUAGGAUAAAUUAAAAUUUUGCACAUUCAUUCACAAAAAGAGAGAGGACAUGUAGGGUCGUAGGUAACUCACAAAAUGAACAAAACCUAACAAAUUUGCAUUGGCGUGUCGAAUACUUGUAUAACUUUUACCAUAAGAAGUUGAUUGGAAUGGGUUUAGACAAUUUGAUGAGACUUAUAUUAUACAUAUGUAUAUAUAUAUAUAAAUAUAUAUAAAUAUAUAUAUAUAAACAAAAAAUCUCCCAAAAAAGCUAUUGGGUGAUUCUAUUUUAACCAAAGAAAUUUCUGUCCAAAUCCAUUAUGUAAUUUGAGUAAAUUUUAUUGAUUUCUCCUAAAGCUUUUCACAAUUAUAGUCAUUUUCCUAUAGUUUCUGAAAUGAUACUGAUAUUUUUUACGUUUAAAAAUAUUAUCAAAAUUAUCUAUCGGAGCUAAUUAUUUGGAAAAAAAAGAAGAUUGCCCUUAAAAUUAAGUAUUCUAAUUUUUUUCUUAAUACACCAAUUAAAAUGAAUAAAUACUCUAUUUUGUUUUGGUCAAAAUACUUUUUAUUUGUAAACUACUCAAUUUAUUUUUAUCAAUAAAUAUUUUAUUUAAAAAAUAAUCUAAAUUAUUUAUUUUUUAAUUACUCAUAAUCAAACCGUAAUUAAAAAAUAAAUAUUUAUUAUCUAAAUUAAUUACAAAAAUAAAUGCAAUAUUGAGAAGAAAAAAUAA
rnacentral:lncRNA from 1 species